rnacentral:sRNA from 1 species
UCUCUGAAGUCUGACAUGUGAAUUUCUCAUAAAAUCAUCACCGCAGAAGAAGAAAUUAUCCAAAACGAAAUUUGAAGGAAAAUACUAAAAAAUCGAAAGAAAAGAAGAGAGAUCAGAGUUUGGUUAAGAAUUUUUUCGGUCACGGUUAAUCUGAAA